rnacentral:rRNA from 1 species
CCUACGGGAGGCAGCAGUGGGGAAUAUUGGACAAUGGGGGGAACCCUGAUCCAGCCAUGCCGCGUGUGUGAAGAAGGCCCUCGGGUUGUAAAGCACUUUCAGUGAGGAAGAACGCCUGGUGGUUAAUACCCAUCAGGAAAGACAUCACUCACAGAAGAAGCACCGGCUAACUCCGUGCCAGCAGCCGCGGUAAUACGGAGGGUGCGAGCGUUAAUCGGAAUUACUGGGCGUAAAGCGCGCGUAGGUGGCUUGAUAAGCCGGUUGUGAAAGCCCCGGGCUCAACCUGGGAACGGCAUCCGGAACUGUCAAGCUAGAGUGCAGGAGAGGAAGGUAGAAUUCCCGGUGUAGCGGUGAAAUGCGUGGAGAUCGGGAGGAAUACCAGUGGCGAAGGCGGCCUUCUGGACUGACACUGACACUGAGGUGCGAAAGCGUGGGUAGCAAACAGGAUUAGAUACCCUGGUAGUC